GGACUACACGGGUUUCUAAUCCUGUUUGCUACCCACGCUUUCGCUCCUCAGCGUCAGUUCCGGCCCAGACCACCGCCUUCGCCACUGGUGUUCCUCCUGAUAUCUGCGCAUUUCACCGCUACACCAGGAAUUCCGUGGUCCCCUACCGGACUCAAGCCAUGGCAGUAUCGAGUGGCCGCUCCAGGUUGAGCCUGAAGUUUUCACACCCGACUUGCCAAGCCGCCUACGAGCUCUUUACGCCCAAUAAAUCCGGACAACGCUUGCCCCCUACGUAUUACCGCGGCUGCUGGCAC
rnacentral:rRNA from 1 species